GAUGAACGCUGGCGGCGUGCCUAAUACAUGCAAGUAGAACGCUGAAGGAGGAGCUUGCUCUUCUGGAUGAGUUGCGAACGGGUGAGUAACGCGUAGGUAACCUGCCUGGUAGCGGGGGAUAACUAUUGGAAACGAUAGCUAAUACCGCAUGACAACAGUUAUUGCAUGAUAACUGUUUAAAAGGGGCAACUGCUCCACUACCAGAUGGACCUGCGUUGUAUUAGCUAGUUGGUGAGGUAACGGCUCACCAAGGCGACGAUACAUAGCCGACCUGAGAGGGUGAUCGGCCACACUGGGACUGAGACACGGCCCAGACUCCUACGGGAGGCAGCAGUAGGGAAUCUUCGGCAAUGGACGGAAGUCUGAACGGGCAACGCCGCGUGAGUGAAGAAGGAUUUCGGAUCGUAAAGCUCUGUUGUAAGGGAAGAACGAGUGUGAGAGUGGAAAGUUCACACUGUGACGGUAUCUUACCAGAAAGGGACGGCUAACUACGUG
rnacentral:rRNA from 1 species